UUAACACCACACGCCAAGCACCGGUAAAAUAUAACUAAACCGAAGAGUGACUGCGAAGCUUCAAAUCGAAGAAGAAAAUGGAGAAAAGAGAUGAUUUGAAGUCAAUUUAAGCUUUACUCGUCGUUGUUGGUUUGAUCAUCAACUCUGUUUUGGCCAUCGAAAGUAAUCGAAGCUCUUAAAUCUAUGGUGAAAGGGCCUAAAUACAGCUGGGUCAACUCAAGAGAAAUGUUUUUAGUGGCCAUUUAUGACAUCAAAAGCUCGCUUUCUUCCAACCCCUCAAGCCUUUUGCCCUCAAUAGUUACGGGCUUUUCUUUGAUGAUGGCCUAUGCAUACAAUUCCUGCAAGAUGAGACACCAAAUGCAAAACAAUCAAGAGGAGGAAGGACCACUUGGGUUGACAAACACGCAUAGCAGCAAAGGAGUGCAGUAGAUGGCAAUUUCACAGAAGGACCACCAAAUUUGGAGAGGGAAUGUGGCAAUCUAUGGGAAGGCUUGAUUGUAAUGAGGAUAAAAGAAGGGAAGGAUCCAAAAAGAAUUCAGAGAAGAAAAUUGUUGAGAAGGAAGAAGAGGGAGAGUUCCAAUCUCUCAAAAACUAAAAGGAUUAGUAUGUUUGUUUGAGUCUUUCGUGUUUCUUAAAUCUAUGUUAAUUCCAAUGUAAAUAACCGCAAGAUGGAUCAGUAAAACUUUGAUUGUAAUUCUG